rnacentral:rRNA from 1 species
CUACGGGCUGCUGCAGUGGGGAAUAUUGCACAAUGGGGUGAACCCUGAUGCAGCAACGCCGCGUGGAGGAUGACGCAUUUCGGUGUGUAAACUCCUUUUAUAUGUCAAGAAAAUGACGGUAGCAUAUGAAUAAGCACCGGCUAACUCCGUGCCAGCAGCCGCGGUAAUACGGAGGGUGCAAGCGUUACUCGGAAUCACUGGGCGUAAAGGACGCGUAGGCGGGUUGGAAAGUCAGGUGUGAAAUCCUACAGCUUAACUGUAGAACUGCACUUGAAACUUCUAAUCUAGAGUAUGGGAGGGGGAGAUGGAAUUAGUGGUGUAGGGGUAAAAUCCGUAGAUAUCACUAGGAAUACCUAAAGCGAAGGCGAUCUCCUGGAACAUUACUGACGCUAAGGCGUGAAAGCAUGGGGAGCAAACAGGAUUAGAUACCCUGGUAGUC